rnacentral:piRNA from 1 species
AAAAGAAAAUGGGGGAAUGAAGGA